UACGAAGGGGGGCUAGCGUUGUUCGGAAUUACUGGGCGUAAAGCGCGCGUAGGCGGCUUUGUAAGUUAGAGGUGAAAGCCCGGGGCUCAACUCCGGAACUGCCUUUAAGACUGCAUCGCUUGAAUCCGGGAGAGGUGAGUGGAAUUCCGAGUGUAGAGGUGAAAUUCGUAGAUAUUCGGAAGAACACCAGUGGCGAAGGCGGCUCACUGGACCGGUAUUGACGCUGAGGUGCGAAAGCGUGGGGAGCAAACAGG
rnacentral:rRNA from 1 species